rnacentral:lncRNA from 1 species
UUUAUUAAAUUAAAAUUACGUAAAAUAAAAAACUUACAAUUUUUUUUACAAGAAUAAACUUCAAAUACCACUCCAAUAGUUUUGUACUUUCUCAUUUUAAUAUCCUAUAUUUUAAAGUGUAUCAAUUUAAAUACCAUGUGGUUUCAUUUUUCUCUUUUCGUCAGUCCCUUCACUAAUUUUUAUUAAAUUAUAUACAAAAAAUUUCAGAUAACCCACCUAUAAUUUAUCGAAUAUUCACUUUAGUAUCCUUCAGUUUUAACAAUGUCACUGAUUUAACGAAAAAAAUAAUAGAGAAAAUAACAAAAAGAAAUAAAAAUAAAACUAUAAAGUGUAAAAGUGAUACAUUUUAAAUCAUAGGAUACUAAAAUAAAAAUGUGCAAAACUUGGGUAUUUGAAGUUUUUUAUUUUUCAAAAUACUUACAUGGAAAAGGAGGGU